UGAUCACAAGGGGGAGCAUUGAUGCGCGAGGGGAUAUUGUGACUGCUGGCACACAAACUGAAGCUGCUUGUUGAAACGAGUCGUUCGGAGCAGCGUCGUCGUCGUCACAAAGGUCAAUCACUUGGCGCCACGGAUCUGGGUGGAGGACUCCAUGGCCCGGCUUCUCCACAGACCCAGUUCCCAACGACCUCACAGAGCUUCCCAGCGUUCUCUCUCUCGGCAGCCACUGGAGGAAUCUCUGACGCCACAGAAGAAUCAAAAGGAUCAAGAGUUGGAGCUGUCGAGUUGCCUUCUUCAACUGACCACUGUAUAGGGCUGUUGGGGCUUUGUGGAACCGUUGGAACUAAUUUUAAAUUUGGUUCUGAACCGGUUGAUGUUUUAUUUGCGGUCUUGCACAGCCACUUAGACGUAUCAAGUGCAGAAUCCCUUGGAGCACCUUGAUUGACACUUGCGAUAAGUGGCAUGGAGACCGCACAUGCUGAGCUUGGACAGGAGGUGGCUGACGGAGUAAAAGUCGGUUUCUUUAUAGCUGCACGCCGUUCAGAUGCUGGGAGUGCCCACAAUUGUGCCUUAGGGGUAGAGAGAGGCCACUGUCCUCUGGGGGGUGUUGGAGCUGUCAGAGCGACAUGAAGAUCAUUCAGAGGUCCAGUAUUUCCCCCGUUAGCUAAGGGUGUUACGGCCAUUAAAUGUACACUCUGUUGUGGUGGUUGCUUCCUGUUGCACGGGUCUAUGACGUUGGCCUUUUCUUCUCCACUGUUCCCCGGACCUGACUCAGUAAUAGAUUUAGUGAUGACUUCAGAGUCCUUUCUGGCCUUUUCUCUUUCUCGAAGAAUCUCUGAGGCAAAGGAGGGAUUUGUAGAAUCAAGAGUUGGACCUGGUUUUGGAAGAAUUUCACAGGGCUUCCCAGCAUUUCCUCUCUCUGCGAGAACUCGCAAAAUCUUUGAAGUAACAGACGAAUAAAAAGGAUUAAGGGUUGGAGCUGUUGGGCUGUUAUCUUCAACGGACCACUUUUUAGGGCUGUUGGGGCUUUGUGGAACCUUUGGAAUUAAAUUGAAAUGUGAUUUUGAUCCUUUUGAUGGUGGUGCGCAUGAUGUCGUAUUUGUUAUUUUGCAAAGCAACUUGAGCGCAUUGAGUGCAGAAUCCCUUUGUGGAGUAACGCCUCCAUCCGUACUUGUGGUUGGUGACGAGGGUAAGUGUGAACCUGGACAGCAGCUGGCUGACGAAGUGAAUGUCUGUUUCCAGAUACCUGCAGGCAGUGUUGAUGCUGGGACUGUAGGGAGAACCUCAGUGCCCCGGCUUCGGGGGGCUGCUGGAGAAUGCACUGGGACUGGGAGCUGACUUGGAGGUCCUACGGAGUUUCCACUGUGUGCAGGUGAAGCCUUUGAAGGAACAACUGCCAACGUUUUGACACUCUGUUGUAGUUGCUGUCGUGGAUGCUUGUUGGGUGAAUUACCAGGAUCCAAACCGACUUCAUAAGGGGACGAACCCACG
ensembl:lncRNA